rnacentral:tRNA from 1 species
GCGGGUGUCGCCAAGUGGUAAGGCAGUAGCUUCCCAAGCUACCAUUCCGUGGGUUCGAAUCCCAUCACCCGCUCAA